AAAAGUAAUUGUGGGUUUUGCU
rnacentral:miRNA from 1 species